GUCCAGACUCCUACGGGAGGCAGCAGUGGGGAAUAUUGCACAAUGGGGGAAACCCUGAUGCAGCGACGCCGCGUGAGUGAAGAAGUAUUUCGGUAUGUAAAGCUCUAUCAGCAGGGAAGAAAAUGACGGUACCUGACUAAGAAGCCCCGGCUAACUACGUGCCAGCAGCCGCGGUAAUACGUAGGGGGCAAGCGUUAUCCGGAUUUACUGGGUGUAAAGGGAGCGUAGACGGCCAGACAAGUCAGAAGUGAAAGCCCAGGGCUCAACCCUGGGACUGCUUUUGAAACUGCCGGGCUGGAGUGCAGGAGAGGUAAGCGGAAUUCCUAGUGUAGCGGUGAAAUGCGUAGAUAUUAGGAGGAACACCAGUGGCGAAGGCGGCCUGCUGGACGAUGACUGACGUUGAGGCUCGAAAGCGUGGGGAGCAAACAGGAUUAGAUACCCUUGUAA
rnacentral:rRNA from 1 species